UUAAGUGACUAAGCGUACACGGUGGAUGCCUGGGCAGUCAGAGGCGAUGAAGGACGUACUAACUUGCGAUAAGCGCAGAUAAGGCAGUAAGAGCCGUUUGAGUCUGCGAUUUCCGAAUGGGGAAACCCAACUGCAUAAGCAGUUACUGUUAACUGAAUACAUAGGUUAACAGAGCAAACCGGGGGAACUGAAACAUCUAAGUACCCCGAGGAGAAGAAAUCAACCGAGAUUCCGGUAGUAGCGGCGAGCGAACCUGGAUUAGCCCUUAAGCACUCGGUGAAGUAGGUGAACAAGCUGGAAAGCUUGGCGAUACAGGGUGAUAGCCCCGUAACCGACGCUUCAUCGAGCGUGAAAUCGAGUAGGGCGGGACACGUGAUAUCCUGUCUGAAUAUGGGGGGACCAUCCUCCAAGGCUAAAUACUCCUGACUGACCGAUAGUGAACCAGUACCGUGAGGGAAAGGCGAAAAGAACCCCUGUGAGGGGAGUGAAAUAGAACCUGAAACCGUGUACGUACAAGCAGUAGGAGCACCUUCGUGGUGUGACUGCGUACCUUUUGUAUAAUGGGUCAGCGACUUAUAUUCAGUGGCAAGGUUAACCGUAUAGGGGAGCCGUAGCGAAAGCGAGUCUUAACUGGGCGCUCAGUCUCUGGAUAUAGACCCGAAACCGGGUGAUCUAGCCAUGGGCAGGUUGAAGGUUGAGUAACAUCAACUGGAGGACCGAACCGACUAAUGUUGAAAAAUUAGCGGAUGACUUGUGGCUAGGGGUGAAAGGCCAAUCAAACUCGGAGAUAGCUGGUUCUCCCCGAAAGCUAUUUAGGUAGCGCCUCGGACGAAUACUACUGGGGGUAGAGCACUGUUAAGGCUAGGGGGUCAUCCCGACUUACCAACCCUUUGCAAACUCCGAAUACCAGUAAGUACUAUCCGGGAGACACACGGCGGGUGCUAACGUCCGUCGUGGAGAGGGAAACAACCCAGACCGCCAGCUAAGGUCCCAAAGUAUUGCUAAGUGGGAAACGAUGUGGGAAGGCUCAGACAGCUAGGAUGUUGGCUUAGAAGCAGCCAUCAUUUAAAGAAAGCGUAAUAGCUCACUAGUCGAGUCGGCCUGCGCGGAAGAUGUAACGGGGCUAAGCAAUACACCGAAGCUGCGGCAAUAUCUUUUAGAUAUUGGGUAGGGGAGCGUUCUGUAAGCCGUUGAAGGUGAAUCGUAAGGUUUGCUGGAGGUAUCAGAAGUGCGAAUGCUGACAUGAGUAACGACAAAGGGGGUGAAAAACCUCCUCGCCGGAAGACCAAGGGUUCCUGUCCAACGUUAAUCGGGGCAGGGUGAGUCGACCCCUAAGGUGAGGCCGAAAGGCGUAAUCGAUGGGAAACGGGUUAAUAUUCCCGUACUUCUGACUAUUGCGAUGGGGGGACGGAGAAGGCUAGGUGGGCCAGGCGACGGUUGUCCUGGUUCAAGUGCGUAGGCUUGAGAGUUAGGUAAAUCCGGCUCUCUCUAAGGCUGAGACACGACGUCGAGCUGCUACGGCAGUGAAGUCAUUGAUGCCAUGCUUCCAGGAAAAGCCUCUAAGCUUCAGAUAGUCAGGAAUCGUACCCCAAACCGACACAGGUGGUCGGGUAGAGAAUACCAAGGCGCUUGAGAGAACUCGGGUGAAGGAACUAGGCAAAAUGGUACCGUAACUUCGGGAGAAGGUACGCUCUUGAUGGUGAAGUCCCUCGCGGAUGGAGCUGACGAGAGUCGCAGAUACCAGGUGGCUGCAACUGUUUAUUAAAAACACAGCACUGUGCAAAAUCGCAAGAUGACGUAUACGGUGUGACGCCUGCCCGGUGCCGGAAGGUUAAUUGAUGGGGUUAGCGCAAGCGAAGCUCUUGAUCGAAGCCCCGGUAAACGGCGGCCGUAACUAUAACGGUCCUAAGGUAGCGAAAUUCCUUGUCGGGUAAGUUCCGACCUGCACGAAUGGCGUAAUGAUGGCCACGCUGUCUCCACCCGAGACUCAGUGAAAUUGAAAUCGCUGUGAAGAUGCAGUGUACCCGCGGCUAGACGGAAAGACCCCGUGAACCUUUACUACAGCUUGGCACUGAACAUUGAACCUACAUGUGUAGGAUAGGUGGGAGGCUAUGAAGACGUGACGCCAGUUGCGUUGGAGCCGUCCUUGAAAUACCACCCUUGUAUGUUUGAUGUUCUAACUUAGACCCAUUAUCUGGGUUGAGGACAGUGCCUGGUGGGUAGUUUGACUGGGGCGGUCUCCUCCCAAAGAGUAACGGAGGAGCACGAAGGUGGGCUAAUCACGGUUGGACAUCGUGAGGUUAGUGCAAUGGCAUAAGCCCGCUUAACUGCGAGAAUGACGGUUCGAGCAGGUGCGAAAGCAGGUCAUAGUGAUCCGGUGGUUCUGUAUGGAAGGGCCAUCGCUCAACGGAUAAAAGGUACUCCGGGGAUAACAGGCUGAUACCGCCCAAGAGUUCAUAUCGACGGCGGUGUUUGGCACCUCGAUGUCGGCUCAUCACAUCCUGGGGCUGAAGUCGGUCCCAAGGGUAUGGCUGUUCGCCAUUUAAAGUGGUACGCGAGCUGGGUUUAGAACGUCGUGAGACAGUUCGGUCCCUAUCUGCCGUGGGCGUUGGAAGAUUGAAGGGGGCUGCUCCUAGUACGAGAGGACCGGAGUGGACGAACCUCUGGUGUUCGGGUUGUGUCGCCAGACGCAUUGCCCGGUAGCUAAGUUCGGAAUUGAUAAGCGCUGAAAGCAUCUAAGCGCGAAGCGAGCCCUGAGAUGAGUCUUCCC
rnacentral:rRNA from 1 species